CUAUUGACCUCAUGACAAUGUAUUCUCGUGGCGUACAGAUGCACAAGGAAGUGUCAACACAAGAACACAGGGGUGAGUAACUUCUCCAAGGCGAGGGUGACACACCCCAAGACGUGAAAGACUCCAAGUACCAAUGGUCAUCCAUCUAACCUCAUUGCCUGGAGACGACAAAAAGUGAAAUGGUGACUGAAUUGGGGAAUCAGAUUUCCCUACUUCUAUUUCAACGUG